rnacentral:rRNA from 1 species
UACGGGGGAUGCAAGCGUUGUCCGGAAUCAUUGGGCGUAAAGAGUUCGUAGGCGGUUUGUUAAGUUUGGUGUUAAAUUCCGAGGCUCAACUUCGGUACGGCACUGGAUACUGGCAGACUUGAAUGUGGUAGAGGUAAAGGGAAUUCCUGGUGUAGCGGUGAAAUGCGUAGAUAUCGGGAGGAACAUCGGUGGCGAAAGCGCUUUACUGGGCCAUAAUUGACGCUGAGGAACGAAAGCCGGGGUAGCAAAU